UUUCCGUAGGUGAACCUGCGGAAGGAUCAUUAACACGUAUCCACGUACCACUAGUAAACCACAUGUGCGAACAUGUAUUUUCCGCUCCUUGCUUGCGCGCUUGCCCCUUGUCGAAGGGAACACAGCACGCAGGCAGCGAGGGGAGGUCGCGGGAGCUCAGACCUUAAACAGCUUCACCCUGUCAUUUUUAACACCUCUUACAAAUGACUUGACUGAAACCCGAGAACGCGUCGGAAACGACCCGAUCUCUUCGUUCGGCCUAAACAACCGAAUCGAUAAACUCUUAACAACUCUUAGCAACGGAUAUCUUGGUUCUC
rnacentral:misc_RNA from 1 species